rnacentral:rRNA from 1 species
UACAGAGGGUGCGAGCGUUGUCCGGAAUCACUGGGCGUAAAGCGCACGUAGGCGGCUUCUUAAGUCAGGGGUGAAAUCCUGGAGCUCAACUCCAGAACUGCCUUUGAUACUGAGAGCUUGAGUCCGGGAGAGGUGAGUGGAACUGCGAGUGUAGAGGUGAAAUUCGUAGAUAUUCGCAAGAACACCAGUGGCGAAGGCGGCUCACUGGCCCGGUACUGACGCUGAGGUGCGGAAAGCGUGGGGAGCGAACAGG